CAAACGGAUUUUUUUUUCUCAACGUUGACAUGUUAGUAUUAUAAUCUGUGACAAUGAUCUGUGACAUUGUCAAGGUGACAGUUGUUAGUUGACAUACGAUUAUUUCUGAUGUUUGGUGGUCUUCAUUUUGUAUUGGCAAAAAUAUAUCUCCAACUCCUAUCUCUAAAGACGAUGAUAACCAUUGUGAAGAAUGACAUGCAAAGGCUAUUAGAACCACAUAUCAACAAUUUUCUGACCAUGACCAAGUGAUGAAUAUGAUAAAAGUCUACCUCAUGAAAGCCACACUACUUUUCAAAGAAAAAUAUUUUCUUUGGAGUUGUAGGUAUUAUAGUGAAAACUUAAUCUUGACUUCUGUUCUGCAUAAAUGAGAAUCGCACUAUGCCAGGUAACAUAAUGUAGCGAGUACCCUGGUUGAGUCAAGAUAAUAUAAAAUAAGUGGAAAGAUAAUGUGGCUCAAGUAGUAAAGGAAAGGAUGUGCAAACAGCCGAAUGUGAAUCUGGCAAUAAUGUGCCUGUUUAAAUGAGUUUUAGUUGAGUACCAAAUAGUUACCUAGGUUUUCCUGGGAAAAACA
rnacentral:lncRNA from 1 species